UAGGGAAUCUUCGGCAAUGGACGAAAGUCUGACCGAGCAACGCCGCGUGAGUGAAGAAGGUUUUCGGAUCGUAAAACUCUGUUGUUAGAGAAGAACAAGGACGUUAGUAACUGAACGUCCCCUGACGGUAUCUAACCAGAAAGCCACGGCUAACUACGUGCCAGCAGCCGCGGUAAUACGUAGGUGGCAAGCGUUGUCCGGAUUUAUUGGGCGUAAAGCGAGCGCAGGCGGUUUCUUAAGUCUGAUGUGAAAGCCCCCGGCUCAACCGGGGAGGGUCAUUGGAAACUGGGAGACUUGAGUGCAGAAGAGGAGAGUGGAAUUACAUGGGUAGCGGUGAAAUGCGUAGAUAUAUGGAGGAACACCAGUGGCGAAGGCGGCUCUCUGGUCUGUAACUGACGCUGAGGCUUGAAAGCGUGGGGAGCAAACAGG
rnacentral:rRNA from 1 species